GGACAACAAAGAUGGCGGCAGGGAGCAGCAGUUACUGGGAAGAUCUCAGGAAACAGGCUCGACAGCUGGAAAAUGAACUUGACCUGAAACUAGUUUCCUUCAGCAAACUAUGUACAAGUUACAGUCAUAGCAGUACCCGAGAUGGAAGACGCGACAGGUAUAGUUCUGAUACAACACCCCUUUUAAAUGGAUCAAGCCAAGACAGAAUGUUUGAGACAAUGGCGAUUGAGAUUGAACAACUUUUGGCAAGGCUUACAGGGGUAAAUGAUAAAAUGGCAGAAUAUACCAACAGUGCAGGUGUCCCCUCCUUGAAUGCAGCCCUGAUGCAUACAUUACAGCGGCAUAGAGACAUAUUGCAGGUAAUAUAUUGGGCUCGAGAUGUUUUCAUUAUCACAGGAGUUUGGGUUUUUUUUUUUUAAUCCCUGCAUUGGAUAUGUGCACAUAUAUUUAAAAGGACAAAGAGAAAAAUCUGAGAAAAUAAAUGCCGUGCUAAAGGGACUUGUUUUACUUUUUUUUUGGGUCACCAUUAUAAAAUUCUGAAAAUAUCUAAUAGCUCUUGCUAUUUCCUGGCGAAGUUGAGUAAUAUUCAUCACUGGGUACAUAUACUUCCACUAUGGGAGACCUAGCUAGCUAGCUGUAACAGUGAAAUAGCCAAUGGUCAUGUAUAGACAAUAACAUGGUGGGUAAGCGUGUACUUUCAGCUGGCUUUGAAGAUAAUAUGG
rnacentral:sRNA from 1 species